GACGAACGCUGGCGGCGUGCUUAACACAAGCAAGUCGAACGGUAAGGCCCUUCGGGGUACACGAGUGGCGAACGGGUGAGUAACACGUGGGUGAUCUGCCCUGCACUUCGGGAUAAGCCUGGGAAACUGGGUCUAAUACCGGAUAGGACCACUGCCUGCAUGGGUGGUGGUGGAAAGCUUUUGCGGUGUGGGAUGGGCCCGCGGCCUAUCAGCUUGUUGGUGGGGUGAUGGCCUACCAAGGCGACGACGGGUAGCCGGCCUGAGAGGGUGACCGGCCACACUGGGACGGGGAUACGGCCCAGACUCCGACGGGAGGCAGCAGUGGGGAAUAUUGCACAAUGGGCGCAAGCCUGAUGCAGCGACGCCGCGUGAGGGAUGACGGCCUUCGGGUUGUAAACCUCUUUCAGCACCGACGAAGCGCAAGUGACGGUAGGUGCAGAAGAAGGACCGGCCAACUACGUGCCAGCAGCCGCCGUAA
rnacentral:rRNA from 1 species